rnacentral:sRNA from 1 species
GCCUGGUGUGGUGGUGCAUGCCUGUAGUCCCAGCUACUUGGGAGGCUGAGGCAGAAGAAUCACUUGAACCCAGGAGGCAGAGGUUGCAGUGAGCCGAGAUCAUGCCACUGCACUCCAGCCUGGGUGACAGAGUGAGACUCUGUCUCAA